GGAGAGGAGAGGCACACACCUGGCUGGAGAAUGUUGAUCAAAUAGGCUUGAUUUGGUGUAGAGGGCACGACAGGGGACCCCAGAGGAAGCAAGAGCAAGAACAGAGGAUGAGCUCAAACAGCACCUGAGAGAGAGGCCAGGACUCCGAGAGAGGAAAGAAUUUGAGGCACGAGGAGGGGAAGCAAAUGAGCUGCCAAGGGUCACACAGCUAGUAAGUGGUGGUGCCAGGAUUCAAAUCCAACACGGCCCCUGGGGAGGCACUGGCAUUUGGAGCAGGGAGUGAGAUCAUCUACCCUGGGCUUUAAGGCCCCGCGGUCCCUAGCCCAGAGCUGUGCACCUAGGUGAUGCCCAGUAAAUGGUGAAUGGAGGACUUCAUGGAAAACACCAAGAACAUUCCAUGAGCACGUUCUCAAAC
rnacentral:lncRNA from 1 species